UACAGAGGGGCAAGCGUUGUUCGGAAUUACUGGGCGUAAAGGGCGCGUAGGCGGCCUGCUAAGUCGAACGUGAAAUCCCCGGGCUCAACCCGGGAACUGCGUCCGAUACUGGCAGGCUUGGAAUCCGGGAGAGGGAUGCGGGAAUUCCGAAGGUUGUAGCGGUGAAAUGACGUAGAUAUCUGGAGGAACACCGGUGGCGAAGGCGGCGAUCCUGGGACCGGCACUUGGACGCUGAGGCGCGAAAGCCCAGGG
rnacentral:rRNA from 1 species